CCCAGUCCGUGCCCAGCUGGAGGGCAAGAGAGGACACCUGGGGUGGGUGCCGACCCCGCAGGCCCUCUCAGCCCUUCCAGUUCGGGGCGCGGAGCCAGAGCGCUUGCGCGUCCUCCGUGUGCGUCCUGCUCUGCGCGCCUCGGAAGCGGCCGGACCUGCGGGGACGCCCGCGAUCUCAGGAGCACCGGAGGAGAGGGACUUCAUCUGACUUGUUCACCCCUGUCUCCCAGGCCCUGGCACAGAGGGAGCACUCAAUACACACCGAUGGGCUGAAGGCAUGAAUGGACCUGGGGACCAGAGUGAUGGUUAUUUGGCAGACAGCAUGCCCCCCCAGGCAGUAGCCGUGAAGACUCUUCUUUUCUUCUCCUCGCCUGCACUCUUUAGGAUUGAACAGCAUUGGUUCAAUGCAUAUUCUGGGAGCACAGAGAAAAAAGGGAUGAAGUUCCACCAUUAUGAAAAAGGGGCUCCUGUAAGCCAGACCCUGAGCCGUUGUCAAAACACAGCUUAAUCCCCAUUCCCUGGGCCGGAGACCCUGCAUCCCCCCACGCUGCCUGGCUUCGGGUCUUACCUGGGGCAACCUGACCAGCAAGAAUGCGCAAGGCCAGGAGCCAAAACAGAGAACCUGAUGGGUAACAGAAGGAAAAGCCAUGGCUUUGCAGUGGCUCUCAGCAGGUAAACUGUACUCCCGGACCCGCUGACCCUGGGCCUGACAGUGUGCCUUGUGCGGACCAGCAGGAAGCAGUGCCUGCGUGCGUGUUCCAGAAAGGACAGCGUGUGUCUCAUCUCAGCCCACAGCCUUCAGCCCUCAGCUCCCAUGGGGAGAGCGUGUCACAGGCAGCCCGUGUUCACUGAGCAUGUGUCCCCGAGAGGGCCACACGUGGAGCAGCCUUGAACCCAGUCCAGAGCCGGCUGCAGAGGCCACAGAGCCAGCUGUGAAUGGCGACAUGAAUGUCUGUGAUUUCCAGAAUCUGAGAUUUGGGGAUGUUUGUUGUUGCAGCAAAAGGCGAUCAGUACUCAGACCUGGGAUUUUGGAUGUGCGGGAAUCUCCAAGAGCUGCGGCAACUUCAUAUCUAUACUGCAGGCUUCACCUUUUCCCGCCACCUUGAAAACUGCUCUUGGUCCUGUGGGACUUCCACACUGCAGGAGGAGAUCUUCGAGGCUGUCUUUGUCUUUGACCUCACACGGCUCACCCAGGCAAGUUUACCUUGCCUGUUUUUACCUCCUAAAUGUUUCUCGAAUCUUUCUCCUCCUCUCUGUUCUUAGUAUCUUGGAUCUGGCUUCCAUUGUUUUUCCCAGGAUCAAUACAAGAGGCUCCCACGUGGGCUCCCCACCUCCGGAAUUGCCUUUGGACCUCACAUCUGUACUCCACCCAGCUGUUAGAGGGCUCCCUCUAGGAUUAGUGUCCUUGGGCUGCUGUAACAAAGUAUGAGAAACUAGGUGGCUCAAAACCACAAAAAUGUAUUGCCUCACCGUUCUGGAGGUCACAAGUCUGAAAUCUGGUGUCGGCCGGGCCAUGCGCCAUCUCACAAUGCUGGGAGAGGAUCCCAUCUUGCCUCUUCCAGCUUCUGUUAAUGGCUGGCAGUCCUUGCCUUCCCUGGCUUGUAGAGGCAUCAUGUCCAGUCACACAGCCCUGUAUGUCUUCACGUCGUCCUCUCUCUGUACGCCCCUCUCUCUGGGUCCAGUUUCUCCUUUAUAUAAGGACAUCAGUCCUAUUGGAUUAGGGCCCCCCCAAAUGACUCCGUUACAGGUUCAUUAUCUAUGCAAAGACCCUAUUCCCAAAUAAAGUCACACUCUGAGGGACUGGAGUUAGGGCUUGAAUGUCUCUUUUCUUGGGGACACAAUUCAUGCCAUAGCAUAAUGUAUCUGAACUUCAUGUCUGACUGUGUCACCUCUUCAAGGACACAAAGCUUCCUGAGGCUCGUCAUCUCCCGGGCUGUGCCCCACCAAAGGUCAGGAGCUGUCUGCUGGAGCUUUGACAGCAACAGGCAUACAUGGUCUACCUUCCGGGAGCGUUCUUUUUCCUCUCAGGAUUCAAAAACGAUUACCUUGCAAUGCAAUGGAAUGGAAUAGAAUGGAAGGGACACAUGCCUUUGCCUGAUAAGAUGCGGCUUUGAAGGUAUUUUGAACAUCCAGCAGGUAGCCCCUUUGGCACCAGUAGGGCCUUUGUUCUCAUUCGCCCACGCAGGUGAAGCAUGUUGCAGAGCAUCUAAGCAGCUCUGGCCUAUGGGAAAAGGCCCAACAUUGUUAAAUUGUGCAGUUAUGCUGCACGGAUUAUCUCAUCUUAGCUCAACUCAGCCAUCGGCUCUCUCUCUAAUGCUUUCCAAUGAGGCACCAUCAAACCGUUCCUGUUUAUGCCUCGGCUCCUGGAUUGUUUGCUGAUCCCAACUUUUCCCUUGUCCAACAGGCCUGACUCCCAGUCAGCUAAAGAAUGCCUUUUCUGAUCCUCUAGGUCUUUCCCACUUUGUGACAGUUACAUUCCCCGUCUUGCGAAAAACAUUGAUAACGUCUUUAUCUUUGUAUGCUCUGUAUCAUAUUACAAUUUGUAAUUACCUUUGGGAUGUGACAGCUCACAUUAGCAGGUGAAUUCUUUAAGGAAAGCAAUUUUUAAAAGUAUUUUAAAUU